CCAAACCACUACCAAAUCAAAUAAUUACUUAUUGUAAUAGAAAUCAGAAGUUGCAGAGUUUGAAGAAGAGUAUUGGUGUUGUGUGAGUGUAUUGUCUGGUGGCGGGUUUAGGGAACUCACGGCGGGGACAAAAGAGAGCAGUUCGACGGCUGAGUGGAGCGCGCGGGUUGGUGGCAGAGUUUGAAGCAGAGCAACGUGGCUUCCAGACGAACGCGAACUCGAACGGUGAACAGCGAGUGAACGCGAACGGUGAACGCCGAGCGAACGCGAAUGGCGAAGAACGCGAACGAAGACGCGAACGUGAACGGCAAACAAACGGCGACGGAAGCGCGGCUGAGCAGACAAAGACAACGGACGCCGAGCUCGAGGAAGCAACCGCGAUCGGUGACAGCGAACAGGGGUUGAAGAUUUGGAGCACGAGGGAAGCUAGAUGACGGAUGGCGAACUUUGAGUGCGACGAACGGCGGCAGUAUGCCACUCCUUGUGGCGGUGGUGUAGGCUUACAGUGCUAGGGUUUUGUGGUUGGGUUUGGGUGAUUU
rnacentral:lncRNA from 1 species